rnacentral:rRNA from 1 species
AGCACUCCUACGGGAGGCAGCAGUGGGGAAUAUUGCACAAUGGGCGCAAGCCUGAUGCAGCCAUGCCGCGUGUAUGAAGAAGGCCUUCGGGUUGUAAAGUACUUUCAGCAGUGAGGAAGGUGGGUAUGUUAAUAGCAUAUUCAUUUGACGUUAGCUGCAGAAGAAGCACCGGCUAACUCCGUGCCAGCAGCCGCGGUAAUACGGAGGGUGCGAGCGUUAAUCGGAAUUACUGGGCGUAAAGCGCAUGCAGGUGGUUUGUUAAGUCAGAUGUGAAAGCCCGGGGCUCAACCUCGGAAUUGCAUUUGAAACUGGCAAACUAGAGUACUGUAGAGGGGGUAGAAUUUCAGGUGUAGCGGUGAAAUGCGUAGAGAUCUGAAGGAAUACCGGUGGCGAAGGCGGCCCCCUGGACAGAUACUGACACUCAGAUGCGAAAGCGUGGGGAGCAAACAGGAUUAGAAACCCUGGUAG